rnacentral:RNase_P_RNA from 1 species
AGGCUGGUCGGAGAUGAUCGCUGGGGUGGUCCCGUAUCGGGGAUCGGCUCCAGAGGAAAGUCCGGACACCGCAAGGCAAUGUGCCUCGUGAAAACGGGGGCGAUGGAGGGCGAAAGCCGCCAUCGACGGAGAGUGUCGCAGAAAACAAACCGCCCUCCCGCUUCGGUGGGAAUCGGCAAGGGUGAAAAGGCGAGGUAAGAGCUCACCGCCCCGAGGGCAACCGAGGGGGCACGACAAACCCCGCGUGGUGCAAGACAGAACAGGGCAAAGUCCGGGCCGCCUGUCCGGUUUCGCUUCGGCGGAAUAAGCCCGGGUAUUAGUCGCACCCCGAAACGCUUCGGCGGGACGGGGAGUUCCGGCUUCGGCCGGGGCUAGAAAAAUGAUCGUCCGCUCCGCUUCGGCGGGGCGAACAGAAUCCGGCUUACGAGACCAGCCUUCGC